rnacentral:rRNA from 1 species
GACGAACGCUGGCGGCGUGCUUAACACAUGCAAGUCGAACGGAAAGGCCCUGCUUUUGUGGGGUGCUCGAGUGGCGAACGGGUGAGUAACACGUGAGUAACCUGCCCUUGACUUUGGGAUAACUUCAGGAAACUGGGGCUAAUACCGGAUAGGAGCUCCUGCUGCAUGGUGGGGGUUGGAAAGUUUCGGCGGUUGGGGAUGGACUCGCGGCUUAUCAGCUUGUUGGUGGGGUAGUGGCUUACCAAGGCUUUGACGGGUAGCCGGCCUGAGAGGGUGACCGGCCACAUUGGGACUGCGAUACGGCCCAGACUCCGACGGGAGGCAGCAGUGGGGAAUAUUGCACAAUGGGCGGAAGCCUGAUGCAGCAACGCCGCGGGCGGGACGACGGCCUUCGGGUUGUAAACCGCUUUCGCCUGUGACGAAGCGUGAGUGACGGUAAUGGGUAAAGAAGCACCGGCUAACUACGUGC